rnacentral:rRNA from 1 species
UCCGUAGGUGGAUAAUUAAGUCAGAGGUGAAAUCCUGCAGCUCAACUGUAGAAUUGCCUUUGAUACUGGUUAUCUUGAGUCAUUAUGAAGUGGUUAGAAUGUGUAGUGUAGCGGUGAAAUGCAUAGAUAUUACAUAGAAUACCAAUUGCGAAGGCAGAUUACUAAUAAUAUACUGACACUGAUGGACGAAAGCGUGGGGAGCGAACAGGAUUAGAUACCCUGGUAGUCC